UACGUAGGGUCCGAGCGUUGUCCGGAGUUACUGGGCGUAAAGGGCGCGCAGGCGGCGGUGCUGGCCCGGCGUGAAAGCCCCCGGCUCAACCGGGGAGGGUCGUCGGGGACCGCACCGCUUGAGGGCGGUAGGGGCCGGUGGAAUGCCUGGUGUAGUGGUGAAAUGCGUAGAGAUUACUAGGAACACCAAUGGCGAAGGCAGCUUGCUGGGCCUUUUCUGACGCUGAGGUACGAAAGCGUGGGGAGCGAACAGG
rnacentral:rRNA from 1 species